CUACGUGCCAGCAGCCGCGGUAAUACGUAGGGGGCAAGCGUUAUCCGGAUUUACUGGGUGUAAAGGGAGCGUAGACGGCAUAGCAAGUCUGAAGUGAAAUACCCGGGCUCAACCUGGGAACUGCUUUGGAAACUGUUAAGCUGGAGUGCUGGAGAGGCAAGCGGAAUUCCUAGUGUAGCGGUGAAAUGCGUAGAUAUUAGGAGGAACACCAGUGGCGAAGGCGGCUUACUGGACAGUAACUGACGUUGGGGCUCGAAAGCGUGGGGAGCA
rnacentral:rRNA from 1 species